ACAUGCCUACAACAUAGUGUUAAUGCACUAUAUCUCAUUAGAACUCCGCAGUUAAGCACGCUCAGGCUAGAGUAGUACUAGGAUGGGUGACUACCCAAGAAGUCCUAGUGUUUUACAUGCC
rnacentral:rRNA from 1 species